UACAGGGGGGGCAAGCGUUGUUCGGAAUUACUGGGCGUAAAGGGCGCGUAGGCGGUUCGUUAAGUCCUGUGUGAAAUCCCCCGGCUCAACUGGGGAACUGCACAGGAAACUAGCGGGCUUGAGUUCGGGAGAGGGAAGCGGAAUUCCGGGUGUAGCAGUGAAAUGCGUAGAUAUCCGGAGGAACACCGGUGGCGAAGGCGGCUUCCUGGACCGACACUGACGCUGAGGCGCGAAAGCUAGGGGAGCAAACGGG
rnacentral:rRNA from 1 species